rnacentral:misc_RNA from 1 species
GAUGAAGAACGUAGCGAAAUGCGAUAAGUAAUGUGAAUUGCAGAAUUCAGUGAAUCAUCGAAUCUUUGAACGCACAUUGCGCCCUCUGGUAUUCCGGGGGGCAUGCCUGUUCGAGCGUCAUUAUAACCACUCAAGCUCUCGCUUGGUAUUGGGGUUCGCGGUUCCGCGGCCCCUAAAAUCAGUGGCGGUGCCUGUCGGCUCUACGCGUAGUAAUACUCCUCGCGAUUGAGUCCGGUAGGUCUACUUGCCAGCAACCCCCAAUUUUUACAGGUUGACCUCGGAUCAGGUAGGGAUACCCGCUGAACUUAAGCAUAUCAAUAGCGGAGGA